UGUUUCGGCUAGGGGGCCAUCCCGGCUUACCAACCCGAUGCAAACUGCGAAUACCGGAGAAUGUUAUCACGGGAGACACACGGCGGGUGCUAACGUCCGUCGUGAAGAGGGAAACAACCCAGACCGCCAGCUAAGGUCCCAAAGUCAUGGUUAAGUGGGAAACGAUGUGGGAAGGCCCAGACAGCCAGGAUGUUGGCUUAGAAGCAGCCAUCAUUUAAAGAAAGCGUAAUAGCUCACUGGUCGAGUCGGCCUGCGCGGAAGAUGUAACGGGGCUAAACCAUGCACCGAAGCUGCGG
rnacentral:rRNA from 1 species